UACAGAGGGUGCGAGCGUUGUCCGGAAUCACUGGGCGUAAAGGGCGCGUAGGUGGCGGCCCAAGUCCAUGGUGAAAGCUCGAUGCUCAACAUCGAGUCGGCCACGGAUACUGGGUUGCUCGAGCACUGUAGGGGCAGAUGGAAUUCCGGGUGUAGCGGUGGAAUGCGUAGAGAUCCGGAAGAACACCGGUGGCGAAGGCGGUCUGCUG
rnacentral:rRNA from 1 species